rnacentral:lncRNA from 1 species
AUUAACAAACAAAUGAUCCUCAGUCACAAAAUUAUAACUUGAGCUCCCUUAAAAAAAAAAUUUCAGUGGAGAAUCACAGCUGGUAAUGUACUGCGAGUUCUUGAAGCUACACAAGGUAUAGUCUGGCUAAGUUACAUGUGGUUUCCAUAUUAGCUUGUUUGGCAGGGUGACCUACUGCAAAGCAGGCUCAGUUACCCCACCAGUCAACCCCCUGGGAGUUAUAAUUUCCUCCAUAUCCAUCACUGUUGUAAAAGCCUCCAUAGCCACCUAAUGAGAGAUUUAAAAAGAGAGAGAAAUUAAUGAAGUUAUCCAUCAUUAAAUACAAUCCUUCCCUUACGUAAUUUGCCAUCAAGUUUCUAUAGUGCUGAACUUAAAUUGUUUAAUUAGGCUUUGAAAAAGAUGACUAAAAGGAAAAAAACCCUUCCCAAAGCUAUGAAGUUACAGAUUAACACUACCUCCACCAAAUCCUCUGCUGCUACCGUGGCCACCUCCGCCACUGCGGCUGCUGCUUGCGCGGCUGCUGCUGAAGCUGGAACUGCUGGCACCGCUACUUUGUCGGUAGUCUCUGGCACCAAACCCUCCACUAAAUCUGCUACUAUAAGAAAAAAAUUAUGUUGGUUCACAUGAAGAUGAAAUUCCACUAAAGUAACCUAACUCUUUCCUAAUGACCAAUUUCUAAUUUUUCCAUUCAAACAAUUCCCCAUCCAGCCAUAUUUUCCCCAACAGAGUGUCACCCAUUCUAAUACAACCCCUUACCAAAGAAUCUAGGAAGCCUAAGAUGAUUAAGCUUUUUAAAUACUGUACAGUUAACCUUGGACGUUAUGCAUGCAGAGGAAACACUAUGAACUGUAAGUGAACACCCAUUCCCCUCAUUAUAUACUAUUUAUACCUCACCUCUUAGAACGUCCACGACUGCUACCCUUGUAGUGGUGUUCAUAAGCCAUGUUUUCUAACCAAGACGGCACUUCUUGUUUAGCUUCAACAAGAAGAUCCAACAAAUCCUUAGUAAUAUUUAUGUUCCUCUCGUUAAAGAAUGAGGUUGCCAGGCCUAAAAGAGUUCCCAAAAAAGUAUAUAAACAAAGGUCUUCCAUAAAGUAACUUGCUACUAUUCUUACUUUCCUACGUAGAAAUAUUUAAAAUAUUACCACGUAAUAUUUAAACAAGUGCUUUGAGCAAAAUCUUUGUCACUUUCAUUGUUAAAAAUGUAUUUUAGAUCCUAGCAAGUUCUUUCCUGCACACAUCACAGCAAAAAACAAUGAAACCAUCAAGUAAUCAAAUACUUACCAAGGUUUCCUACACGUCCCGUACGACCAAUACGAUGUACAUAUUCUUCAAUAUCACUUGGCAAGUCAAAAUUGAUAACAUGUUUCACAUUUGAAAUGUCCAGUCCUCUUGCUGCUACCUGGAAAAUAACUUUUAUGAGAUAUGGCCCACUUAAAAGAAAACAAAUACUUGAACAUGCUCAAUUUGAAUAAAAGAAAGAUGUUUAUACAUACUGCUGUAGCCACUAAAAUUGGGCUUUUUCCUGAGCGGAACUGGUGAAGGGCCUCUUCUCUAUCCCUCUGAGAACGGUCUCCAUGGAUGCUGGUACAUGCGUAUCCUUCAUGGUAUAAGAAAUCCUCCAGAGAAUCUGCACCCUUUUUGGUCUCCACAAACACUAAGGUCAGUGAAUCCUUGCCUGUCGUUGAAAAAUUAUAGGUUUUUGUCACUAACAUGGCUUAGUUCUCUUUGCACUUAUGUAUGCACAAUUUUAAUGUGUCAAUUAAAAUACAUAUAUAUCUUCUUAAAAACGGGCUUUCAACACAGCAUGUUUUGAAUUGAGGAGGAAAAGUAAUAAAGGUAAUCCAAAUACAUUUAAGAGAUGGGGGUCUCACUAAAUUGCCCAGGCUGAGAGUGCACUGGCCAUUCGCAGGUGCAAUCAUGGCAUACUACAGCCUCAGCCUGCCAAGUAGCUGGGACUACAUGCACUGUACCACUGCACCCAGCCCAAAUGGGUUAUUACCAGAGCAAUUAAAUUAUUCAUAAUUUUAGCUGGGUGCAGUGGUGAGUGCCUGUAGUCCCAGCUACUCUGGAGACUGAGGCAGGAGGAUUGUCUAAGUCUAGGAGUUCUGGGCUGUAGUGUACUAUGCCUAUCAGGUGUCCACACUAAGUUUGGCAUCAACAUGGUAACCUCCCGGAAGCAAGGGAGCACCAGGUUGCCUAAGGAGGGGUGAACAGGCCCAGGUCAGAAACAGAGCAGGUCAAAUACUCCCAUGCUGAUCAGUAAUGAGAUCACACCUGUGAAUAACCCCUGCACUCCAGCCUGGGCAACAAAGAGAAACCCCCAUGUCUAAUAAAAUAAAAAAUUCAUAAUGUUACCUGUUGCAUUUAGGAGGUCAAGCAGAAAUGACCGUUUGUCUGAUUCUUCCACCCAAACUACUUUCUGUGUGAUGUUUUCAGAGGUAGAGCCAACUCUUCCUACAGCCAAGAAGAUAUAUUCAUCUAAGAAAUCACGAGCCAGCAUCUGAAAGAAAAAAAAUUUUUAUUAUUACCUGAGAUAAACAAAUUUCUAAAUAAAUAAAAUUUGCAACAUCAAACAGUACCUGUAUUUCCUUAGGAAAAGUAGCACUAAACAUCAUAGUGUGGCGGACACCCUUUGGAGGCAUAGUAUCUUGUUCGACUAUUCUACGAAUCUGAGGCUCAAACCCCAUAUCCAACAUCCGAUCAGCUUCAUCUAACACCAAGUAUCUGUCAUGUCAUGAAAAAAAACAAGCCUGAGUUUAGAAUUUGAGGAGAAAUCAACAUGGUUUUAGUAUGGCUGUUAGUAUAAUUACAAAUACAAUUGUAUAGGUUAUUACAAUUAUAUAUUCAUUAAGAUGGUGCCUCACACUGCAUAAUUUUACAGACACAGCACAGGAUUCUUGCCACUACAUAAGUCAUUCAAGAUUACACAGUCAAAUUAGCCCAUCCUAGUUGACUGUCCCACGAGCUGAUCAUUGUUGUAAGUCUCAACCAAGAUGUUACUGAUUUUUCAACAUUAAAAUUACCAUGAACAAGCUUUUUGUGAAAGUUAGAUGUCUGAAAUACAUCACUUCUCAGCCUUAACAUUUAGACAAUGUUAACAUCACCACAAAACUAAUGGGCAGUAACUUUAAUACUGCAUCCCAUACAUUUAAAAAUUAACAUACUUGGCCGGGUGCGAUGGCUCACACCUGUAAUCCCAGCACUUUGGGAGGCCAAGGCAGGCGGAUCACCUGAGGUCAGGAGUUCGAGACCAGCCUGACCAACAUGGAGAAACCCCGCCUCUACUAAAAAUACAAAAAUUAGCCCAGCGUGGUGGCACAUGCCUGUAAUCCCAGCUACCUGGGAGGCUGAGGCAGGAGAAUCGCUUGAACCCGGGAGGCAGAGGUUGUGGUGAGCCGAGAUCGCGCCAUGGCACUCCAGCCUGGGCAACAAGAGCGCAACUCUGCCAAAAACAAAAGAACAAAACAAAACAAAACAAAAAAACAAAAACAAAAUAAAACAUACUUGCAAAAGUCUAAUCCAAUCUUUCCUCUUUCCAUCAUAUCCACUAGACGUCCUGGAGUGGCUACUAACAAAUGGCAUCCACGUUCCAAGUCUCGAAUCUGCUGACCAAUAUCGGCACCACCAUAAACCACGCAAGGACGAACUCUAGAUCGGUAUGAAAACUAUAAGCAAAAAAAAUGUUAUGAACUUCAAGGUCAAAAUUUUUACAUGUUCAUAAAACAUUUAAUUAGAAUCAAUGAAAAAGCUAAUAAUCACUGGAACUCAUACUUACUUUUCUGGCUUCCUCGUAGAUCUGUACUGCCAACUCUCUCGUUGGUGCUAAUACCAAGGAGAUUGGGUAUUGUUUGCGGCGCCCAUACCUUCCAUUUUCCUAAGAAAUAAGUUAAUUUUUAAGUUAACUCUACCUACCCUGUUUGAAAAGUUCAUCACAACAUAAUUCCCUUUUGUAAUUUAUAGAUUACAGAUUACACUUGAAAACUGGUUUUCAUUCUACUUAAGUCUUAGCAUCAUUUAGAAAGCCCUCUCAAUGGCCACCUACAAAGUUCUACAAUUUCCCAUUUUAUAAAGAAACAUCUACCUUCAUGGCCCUCAAAGCCUCGCCUGGACCAUCUGAAUAAAUCUGACUCAAGAUGGGCAACAGAAAUGCUGCAGUUUUUCCAGACCCUGUUCAAAAACAAACAAACAAAUCCUGCUCAUUACUUUUAAACAGACAUUGGUAGAUGACAGUGUUUUUUAACUACCCUAUUACUAAUAAUUAGUACUUUUAGUUUAUGCUUAAGUUUUCCAAAAAGUGGCUUCUCUGCUCCACCUCUAAGAGGAGUCAGCAAACUGAGACUAUUUUGUAAAUAAAGCCUGUUAUUUUUAUAAAUAAAGCUCUUACGGAAUACAGCCGUAACCAAUAAUUUAUGUAUCAUCUAUGGCUUCUUUCACAGUCCAAUAGCAGCGCAGAGCAGCUGCAAAACUGCAUGACCCAUAAAAAAUAAAAUAUUUUAUUGUCUAGUCCUUUACAGAAGAAAUAUGAUGUUUUACUCUUAUGAGUUGAGCUUACCUGUUUGGGCACAAGCCAUCAAGUCUCUUUUCUCUUUGAUAAUAGGAAUAGCAUGCUUUUGCACUGGAGUUGGGCGAGUAUAACGAGUAAGCUCAAUGUUUCCCAUGAUAAUUUCUCCCAUCUCAACAUCACUGAACUGUUAAGAAAUUCAAUGGGGUUAGGAAUGCUAUCUAGAGCUAUUUCUGUUUUAUACUAAUAAUGGAAACAACCAACCAACAGCUGAUUGGUAACUCAGUUUAUAGUUUAAGUAAAAUUAUCACAUUAUACUUUGAGAAAAACCAACCCCCAGGCUUACUGCACAUUGGAGAAGACUUUGGGUUGUUCCUAUGUUUGACCCAUUUUCUAUUUUAGGUAAUAAAUUAUUCAUAAUGGUGACACUGAACUCAACUUCUCCUUUUCCACAAAUCUAUGAAGCCUCUGGUCUACAUGACUUUAUGAAGCCCAUCUCACAUUCUAAUGUAACAUGAAAACAUUUAACCUCUCUGUGUCUUAAAAAGUCAAGCAAAAAUACUCACACUUUCAAUAUGUGGAGGACAGUUGUUGCCUGUUGCCUCAACUGGAAUGUCAUCGUAUUUCUCAAAAUUAAUCCCAGUGUUGCCUCCAGAAAAGAGUUCCCUCAAAUCAAAAAAUGGAUAAGUUCAUUUGUUAUACUAGCUAGUAAGGCUUCAUCACAAGUAACAUACACUUCAAAAACUUACUGUUCCAAGCGUUCACUUGGUGGGAGUGGUUUUGACCAAUCAUCUUCAUCUGAUUUGUCACACCAGCGACUGUUUCCACCACGUUCAAAUUUGCCAAAGCCACUUCUGUCACCACGGCUGCCAAUGCCAUCGUAAUCACUCCGUCCACGAUCAUCAAACCUGAACAGCACAAGCAAUUAAUCAGAAUCAUAUCAUUUAACCAUUAUCAGAUUCUUAUCCCUACUCUAGAACUGUAUCUGGAGACUUAAGUUAUGGCUAACCAUAAGGAUGUCAACAAUCCAAUUCUGAGUUACUUGACAAAUAAGGCUCUCUAACCAGCAUCAUUUACAUAACCUCGUUUUCUAAAAUCAGUAAUCUUUACAUUUCUAUAAAGUUGUAUAGCCUAAAAGGCCUCACAGAUGCCAAAAUUAAGAAUAAGGAUUUUAUUUGAAAUCGGCACACAGCUCACAACCUUCAUUUAAAGUGCUCAUCCAAAUAUAUUUAAUGGUAGGGAAAACAAGAAAAUAGCACACCAAAUAUCAAUCGUCCUAGUUAUACUAGGAUGUCACUUAAAGGACAAUUCACCUGUGUGACAGACUUUGGAUAAAAGGUAGAAAAUAAUCCUUACCUGAACUAAGAUGUUUUUAAGAGUUUUAGGCCUGUUUGCGAAAAAUCAGGACACAGGACUAACCACAGCUAUUAGGCACGUGGGGUCAGUUCACCACACUUGUGUAAUCAAAAAUACAAGGUGUUUAGAAAUUGUUAUAGAGUCCACAAAAAUCCCAACCAAAUUAGGCCAUUCACUAGAUGAACUUACUCUUUUAAGUAGAACAUAUAAAACUCGAGAAAUAGAAUAACUCAUUUCAUUAUGCCAAUGAGCAUAUUCCUAUUUUCAUCUAAUUUCUAAGUAACAGGUUCAAUUUAGUAAAAGCCUCUUACGGCUAAGAAAAUACAAUGACCAAACAGACAUAAUGCUUAACAUCCAAACAGGUGGUCAGGAUAACGACUUAUUAAACUGUUAUUAUACAUACACGUAAGGUGAUUAAGAAAUCACUUACCUUCCCCUUGAUCCACUUCCACGAUCACUGAAGAAGCUAGACUUCCCUCUUGAAUCACUACGAGAUCCAAAACUGCUAUACGCAUCCUUAUCUUUGCUAGAACUCCACCCUGAACUGUCUUUAUCGUAGAAACCUUUGAUUAAAAAAGCACAAAUACAUUUUAUUAUUAAUUAGAAAUAGGAACCAUGUUAAGGUAUUAUCAAUCUUUCUGAAUUUGAAAGCCUCCACUGACUAUCCCUACCAUGGCACUGUAAGAGAACCAAGAUUUAAAGCUGGUUUACACCCGGACAAAGUUUUUCUUUAAUUCUCCCCACUAGAAAAUACUGUCCACUGGCCAGGCAUGGUGGCUCACGCCUGUAAUCCCAGCACUUUGGGAGGCCAAGGCGGGCAGGUCACCUGAGGUCAGGAGUUCGAGACUAGCCUGACCAACAUGGAGAAACCCCGUCUCUACUACAUAUACAAUAUUAGCCAGGCGUGGUGGCCCACGUCUGUAAUCCCAGCUACUCAGGAGGCUGAGGCAGGAGAAUCACUUGAACCCGGGAGGCUGAGGUUGCAGUGAGCCAAGAUUGCGCCACUGCACUCCAGCACGGGAAACAAGAGUGAAACACCCUUGUCUCAAAAAAAAAAAAAUUACUUUACACUAAAUCAAGCAAUCUGACAGUCUAAGAAUGUUUCUCAAUGAAUACUACCUCUAAGUGGUCAACAGCUUUGCCUGUAACGCAUUAUGACGUUGUGUGACCAUAACAAUUUAAUUUCCAUUCAUUUUAUAGGUGUGAAUGAGUUUACUAGGAAAAACAGUUACCAUUGUUUCCAUGUUUCUUGGAGGUGGUAUUCAUUUAGAACAUUCAUAGACUGUCAGAUUACUUGGUUUAAUACAGUAUUUUUCAGUUUCAAUAGUAUAAAGUACAAGAACACUAAUGUCAAAUUGUAGUAUUAUUUUAGUGGUUCAUCUACUAUAAGCUUGAUGACAAUCAGGAAUACCUGGGAAAAAGAAAAACCCUCAUCACUAUAUAUUCUCAGUAUAGACAAGGUUCCUGGGUACAGCUAUAAAUAUCCAGGUAAGGGGAUGACAAACAUGUAAAUUAACCCAAAGACAGGUAGAGGGUUUAAAGACAGGUAGAGGGUUUAACUAGCUUCAGCAACACCUUAUUAAACAGAAACAGCUUCUCAAUUCAGUUACUUUCCUUCUGCCUUCUACCUCCUACCGUUAGGCCAGUCAGGUGACCAACAGCCUUUGCUAGCAAGAAAGAGUUAAGUUAGAUUGCCAGAUCUCUACCAGCUCUAAAACCUCUAUGAUACUGCCAUAUACACGAGGGUCAAUUCUAGCUAGUAUACUAGGAAUAUUGAGAACAUCCAUGAUGAUAAAGACAAAUUCCAAAGUAACCUCCCCUAAAAAGAAUAUAAUGCCAGCCAGGCAUGGUGGCUCACGCCUGUAAUCCCAGCACUUUGGGAGGCUGAGGCGGGUGGAUCACUUGAGGUCAGGAGUUCGAGACCAGCCUAGGCAACAAGGCAAAACCCCGUCUCUACUAAAUAUACAAAAAUUAGCCGGGCAUGGUGGCACAUGCCUGUGAUCCCAGCUACUUGGGAGGCUGAGGCAGGAGAAUCACUUGAACCCAGGAGGCGGAGGUUGCAGUGAGCCCGCGCUACUGCACUCCAGCCUCCGCAGCAGAGCAAGGCUCCGUCUCAAAAAAAAAAAAAAAAAAAAAAAGCCAAAGUGAUCUUCUGGUAGAAAUAAUACAGAUUUUAUAUCCAUGCAUUGCCAGGACAGUGAAGGUAAUACAGACUACAUAUGGAGAUGGAGGAACAGCAGCAAACCAUGUGCUCCCCUGUGGACUCUCCACUCUUCCUAUCUGCCUUCUUUAUACAGUAUCUUCCCUCCUAAUCUUUGGUUUUCCUGACUUUCCCUUUUCCUCCAAAUUUUGGAUGGUCUAUUUUACAGAAUAUAAAGCACCCGAACAGCUGUCUCAUAAUAUGAAACAUAUACUAGCUGUCAUCUAUCACUACGUUACAAUUACAAUGGGAAAAGACACCAGAUAUUGUAAUACAUUUUGGACAAAACCUUUCAAAAGCAGCAAGGCAAGGAGAUGAAACCAGAGAAUCACUUCCAACGCUGUAACUUGUUAACUGUUCUACAAUAAGCCCAUCUUCAUUUCUAGCAACUUUGCCAAGACAGAAAUAACCAGGUUGUUAUCAUUAUACAGCUUGGUUUACACAGUAGGGCACCCACCUCUUCCAAACUAAAACCAUGCUGUGAAUGAUUACAAACAGAUUCAGCACAACACUAGUGAAACUGUACAAAACCAUGCCCUUGGCGUCAGAACAGUUUGACAUAGGAAUGCCGAAUUUCCCACUGCGUAACAUUAGAUGAGUUCUUCCAAAAUUAUUAAGCUCUAGUAUUUGAACCAAGGCUGACAGAAGCAUAGAAAAACAACACCAUGUUUAGACCUCCCCCAAAUGCCUGGUUUUCCUUAGGCUUUACUAACUUCUAAAGGAGGCAAAAAAUAGACCUACGAAGUUACUUGUGAGGACCUACCUUUAGUAGCUUCUCGGUUCCUUAAAUGAGGAGGAAUAUAGCGCCCUUCUAAAAAAAUAUAUAUAUAUAUAAAAUUAAUUAAAUGCCAAAAAACCUUCCCAUUUAAAUUUCUGUUACUAAAAAAUGGUUCUGGGAAAUUAAAAUCUCCAGCCUUCCAAUCUGAUUACUUACCUGGACACUGAGAGGGGGGAAAAAUAAGAAUCUAAUUUUAAAUGGGUUACUGCUUCAUAAGGAGAACUCUGAAAGGAGUUUGAUAAAAAAAAGCUGAUUUGGAACCUAAUAGUUGAAAUCCACAAAUUGAGCACAUUUAGCCACCAGUGGUCAUUUAAUGUGAUUUUUUUAAAGGCCUGCUAGAUUUAAGAGAACUGUCAUCAAAACUGUCAACAAAAGCAUUAAGUAUUACUGUAACAAUUUAAGAUUACUCAUGUAACAUAUCUCACAAUCUUUUGUUUCUAUGCCAGUAAGUUGCAAAACAUACAAUAAAUAAACAAGGAAAAGCUGCAAAGGGGAGUUAAUUUCAAGGAAUUGCAGGUUUUAAUUUGGGGCUUGCUGAGUUUAAGGAAAGUUGACAGUUGCUCUGUAUGCGAGCAGGAGUACAGCCUAGAAUAUGGAUAAGCAAAAAAAACAACAUAAAGCCAAAUAAAUUUGCUUUAUAACUAGUAAACGUGUCAU